UACGUAGGGACCGAGCGUUGUCCGGAAUCAUUGGGCGUAAAGAGCGUGUAGGCGGCCCCUUAAGUCCUGCGUGAAAUCCUGCGGCUCAACCGCAGACGGUCGUGGGAAACUGGAGGGCUAGAGUGCGGGAGAGGAGAGUGGAAUUCCCGGUGUAGCGGUGAAAUGCGUAGAUAUCUGGAGGAACACCGGUGGCGAAGGCGGCAUCCUGGACCAAUAUUGACGCUGAGGAGCGAAAGCCAGGGGAGCAAACGGG
rnacentral:rRNA from 1 species